GACAGAGGUGCCGAGCGUUAGGCGGAAUCACUGGGCUUAAAGCGUGUGUAGGCGGGCGGGCAAGUACCUUGUGAAAUCCCACGGCUCAACCGUGGAACUGCUGGGUAUACUGCCUGUCUUGAGCCAGCCAGGGGCGAGCGGAACAGACGGUGGAGCGGUGAAAUGCGUAGAUAUCGUCUGGAACGCCGAAGGUGAAAACAGCUCGCUGGGGCUGUGCUGACGCUGAGACACGAAAGCCAGGGGAGCGAACGGG
rnacentral:rRNA from 1 species